UUCAACCUCAAACAACAACAAACUCAGUUACUCACCCUCGAGAACAACAACCACGACAACUAAACCGUUGAAAGAGCACCAAUCGUCUCAUGAUUCUUUAUUAACAAAGCGCAAAAGAACAUAACAUAAUUAUAAUAAUUUAAAUCAUGAUUUAAUGAUACAACCGAAACCCAACCUUACUAAAAAAACCCAAUAUUACCUGUCAAACAAAUACGUCAACCCCAACCAACGAAUAAAGAUCGAGUAACAAGAAACAACGUUGAAACAUGGAGCAAACUAGAAGCAAGAGGGGACGAUAUGGCAGCUAAAAUAAAGUUACAAAAUAAAGAAGAAGAAUGGAAAAAGGAAUGAAAGAAAAACAAAAUAUAUCAGAUUGCCAAAAGUAGGAGAAGAAUGGCGG
rnacentral:lncRNA from 1 species